CUUCAUUCGUGUGGUGGAUCGUCCUGUGUGGGUCACCUGGUAACAUGUCUGCUUCCAUGGUGGCGGGUUCGAACCCAGCCGUGGACUUCAACAACUUGUGCCCCUUCAAGUAGCAUCUUCACCCAACGUGCUCGGUGUACUCUGUCCCUAUAGUACUCCGGUGCUUCUGCUAAACGGUCUUUCAGCGCCACGAGCCCGAUACGCGCCCCGGCGAAGUUUCGAAGGUGGUCCAUUGGUUUCCCGGCCUCCCCUUCCUGCACGCGUCACGGAGCUGCACGCGUCACGCGUCACUUCCUGCACGCGUCACGGAACUGGAGCAGCGCUUGCGCGCUUUGACCUGCAAGCUGGAGUGUGAGAGUUUGUAGCGGUCAGCACCACCGCAGUCACUAUAUGAAACCGCUACUUAACCCACCGCACACUACGCACGCUAAAUACGGAGUGCCGUGUGCUGAGGCUUCAGUGCACGUUACUGAAACCUUAAAUAGGUAAAAUGGAUCCAGGACCAUAAAGGACCAUAACCAGGACCACAAAGGACCACGGCCUUUAUGGUCGCAGUGUUCUUGCGAUAUCAAAUGAUGCUAGAUGCACUGAUAAGUGAUACAGGUACGUUGUGACAGUGAGCAAUAAAAGAAGAGUGAACUUGU